rnacentral:rRNA from 1 species
UACGUAGGGCGCAAGCGUUGUCCGGAAUUAUUGGGCGUAAAGAGCUCGUAGGCGGUCUGUUACGUCCGCUGUGAAAACCCAGGGCUUAACCCUGGGCUUGCAGUGGAUACGGGUAGACUAGAGGCAGGUAGGGGAGAAUGGAAUUCCCGGUGUAGCGGUGAAAUGCGCAGAUAUCGGGAGGAACACCGGUGGCGAAAGCGGCGCACUGGACCACAACUGACGCUGAGGCGCGAAAGCUAGGGGAGCAAACAGG